rnacentral:rRNA from 1 species
GGAUGAACGCUGGCGGCGUGCCUACUACAUGCAAGUCGAGCGAACAGACGAGGAGCUUGCUCCUCUGACGUUAGCGGCGGACGGGUGAGUAACACGUGGAUAACCUACCUAUAAGACUGGGAUAACUUCGGGAAACCGGAGCUAAUACCGGAUAAUAUAUUGAACCGCAUGGUUCAAUAGUGAAAGACGGUUUUGCUGUCACUUAUAGAUGGAUCCGCGCCGCAUUAGCUAGUUGGUAAGGUAACGGCUACCAAGGCAACGAUGCGUAGCCGACCUGAGAGGGUGAUCGGCCACACUGGAACUGAGACACGGUCCAGACUCCUACGGGAGGCAGCAGUAGGGAAUCUUCCGCAAUGGGCGAAAGCUUGACGGAGCAACGCCGCGUGAGUGAUGAAGGUCUUCGGAUCGUAAAACUCUGUUAUUAGGGAAGAACAAAUGUGUAAGUAACUAUGCACGUCUUGACGGUACCUAAUCAGAAAGCCACGGCUAACUACGUG